rnacentral:SRP_RNA from 1 species
GCCAAGCACAUAGUUCCAGCUGCUUGGGAGGCUGAGGUGGGAGGAUCGCCUGAGCCCAGGAGUUCUGGGCUGUAUAGUGCACUAUUCUGAUCGGGUGUCCGCACUAAGUUCGGCAUCAAUAUGGUGACCUCCUGGGAGCAGGGGACCAACAGGUCAUCUAAGGAGGGGUGAACCGGCCCACGUAGGAAACGGAGCAGGUCGAAAUUCCACUGCUGAACAGUAGUAAGAUCGUGCCUGUGAAUAAGCAUUGGACUCCAACCUGGGCAACAUAGCCAGACCCCCUGUCUU